rnacentral:rRNA from 1 species
ACGGAGUUAGCCGGUGCUUAUUCAUAUAGUACCGUCAUUAUCUUCCUAUAUAAAAGGAGUUUACGCUCCGAAAAGUGUCAUCCUCCACGCGGCGUUGCUGCAUCAGAGUUUCCUCCAUUGUGCAAUAUUCCCC